AACGAACGCUGGCGGCAUGCCUAACACAUGCAAGUCGAACGGGAUCCUAGCUUGCUAGGUGAGAGUGGCGGACGGGUGAGUAACACGUGGGAAUCUGCCUUUUGGUUCGGGAUAACCGCGGGAAACUGCGGCUAAUACCGAAUGCCCUCGAGAGAGGAAAGAUUUAUCGCCAGAAGAGGAGCCCGCGUCCGAUUAGGUAGUUGGUGGGGUAAAGGCCUACCAAGCCGACGAUCGGUAGCUAGUCUGAGAGGAUGAUCAGCCACACUGGGACUGAGAUACGGCCCAGACUCCUACGGGAGGCAGCAGUGGGAAUAUUGGACAAUGGGGGCAACCCUGAUCCAGCAAUGCCGCGUGAGUGAUGAAGGCCUUAGGGUUGUAAAGCUCUUUUGCCAGGGAAGAUGAUGACUGUACUUGGAGAAUAAGCCCCGGCUAACUUCGUGCCAGCAGCCGCGGUAAU
rnacentral:rRNA from 1 species